CGCCCAGCUGGGAUAACUACUUUUUACAGAGUCUUGUUCCUGAUUGUUAAAUUUUAAAGCAUCCCAAAGUUUGGUUUCACACUUGAAUGAAUACCAUGUAAGGAUUCACUUACAUAGAUGUGGUUGCCUGAAUCUUAAGAAUAAAAUAACAUUGUUUGUAUUUAUUUAAAUUAGUGUUCCUUUUAUGGUUUGCCUGAAAGCACAACAAAAUCCUCACCAAGAUAUUACAAUUAUGACUCCCAUACAGGUAUACUGUUUAGAGAUUGGCAAGCACCUUUUAAUUAAAGGAGUCAGCCAGCUUAGUGUGCAGUAUUUAUUUCUGCCGGAAGAGGGAGCUUCAGGGACAGACUUUGGUUUAGUCAUGAAGCCUGCAGCACUCCCAAGCGGUUGUGGUUGACCAAGCAAUUUAUGCUUUUACCUUUCUACUUCCAGAGGCUUGUUUACUUAUCAGUAAGCAUUAAUUUAGUGUCCCCUCAGAUGCCUUUUACUUUCUUCUUUUCUGCCUAGAAUAAGCUGCUCUUCCAAUUUUGCAGCUACAUGUUUCCACCCCAGUUGGAAUUUCUCCAUAACAUCCAUUGUAGCUAUCCUUCAAUCUACAGCCUCUAUUUCCUGUUAUAGCUGGUCAGGUCUAAUCCCUCAAAAUACUCUGUCCCCUGCUUCCCUUAUCUGCUGGCCACCUUUUUCCCCCACAUACACACUGCCAUGUCCCACCCUUCACUCAAGUUGUUCCCUGCCACCUCAACAAAUUUAAGUCCAUAAAAUAGAGUAAGUGUUCCUGACUGUUAAAUUUUAAAGCAUCCCAAAGUCUGAUUUCACACUCGAAUGAAUACUAUGUACGGAUUCAUUUACAUAGAUGCGGUUGCAUGAGUCUUAACAAAAAAAUAACAUUAUUUGUAUUUAUUCAAAGUACUGUCAAGAUAUAAUGUCAAGAUCUAAUUCAAAGGUUCCACAAAGCCUUCCUUGACUGCCCCCAACGAAGAUUAUCCAUUUUCCCUGAAAUCCCAUUGACUUUUCUAUUUUGUAAGGAGGCUCGUGAGACUCUGUCUAAAAACAAAACAAAACAAAAAGAAACAAUCAAACGGCUUGCUUCUGUUCUUUGAUCUGCUAGUAAGCAAAAAUUACACAUGGUGACAGGAGCUAUGUGAGGCUGUCAGGUUGAAUGGGAGGAGUUUGGGAUCCUGCUUGUGGAUGGUUGGAAGAGGCUUUCGGGAAAGACAGUAUUUAUGUGAGACCUGGAAGAUGGGCCUUAGCUUUGCAGAAGGUGGAGAGGCAGGAAAUAGCACGGGGGCCCUGGGGCUGGAAGACUUGGGCAUAUUUGAGGAACAGAAAGGAGACCAGCAUAACUGAGGUGGGAAAAGCAUGUGAAGAGAUGGGGC
rnacentral:lncRNA from 10 species